GUCUACCAGAACACGUUCGACGGUGAGGGAUGAAAGCUGGGGGAGCAAACCGGAUUAGAUACCCGGGUAGUCCCAGCUGUAAACUAUGCAAACUCAGUGAUGCAUUGGCUUGUGGCCAAUGCAGUGCUGCAGGGAAGCCGUUAAGUUUGCCGCCUGGGAAGUACGUACGCAAGUAUGAAACUUAAAGGAAUUGGCGGGGGAGCACCACAAGGGGUGAAGCCUGCGGUUCAAUUGGAGUCAACGCCA
rnacentral:rRNA from 1 species